rnacentral:rRNA from 1 species
UACGUAGGGUGCGAGCGUUAAUCGGAAUUACUGGGCGUAAAGCGUGCGCAGGCGGUUUUGUAAGCCCGAUGUGAAAUCCCCGGGCUUAACCUGGGAAUGGCAUUUGGGACUGCAAGGCUGGAGUUUGGCAGAGGAGACUGGAAUUCCCGGUGUAGCAGUGAAAUGCGUAGAUAUCGGGAGGAAUACCGAUGGCGAAGGCAGGUCUCUGGGCUGUAACUGACGCUCAUGCACGAAAGCGUGGGGAGCAAACAGG